UUUUAUUUUGAUAUUAUUUUUUAUUGUUGAAAAAAUUAAUAAUAAUUUAUUGUUAAUAAAAAUUAAAAUUUAUAAUAUUUUUAUUUUUAUUUUUUAGUUUUAAAUAAAAAAAAUAAAAUUUAUAUAUAUAAAAAUUUUGUUAUAAAUUAUAAUAGUUUAUUUAUUUGUUUUUUAUAAUAAAUAAUAGUAUUUUUUUUAUUAUUUUAUAAAAAAAAAUAAUUUAAUUAUAAUUAUUAAAAGUAAUUUUGUUAUUUAGAAUAAUAUAUUAAUAUAAAUAACAAAAAUAUUAAAUAUUUUUUAAAUUUUUUGGGGAUUUAAGUUAUAAUUUUUUGUGUCUGCUCAAUGAAUUUAAAUAGCACUUUUAGCGUGAUGGGCCAAGCUAC
rnacentral:rRNA from 1 species